UUUGGUAACUAAUGUGUCUACCAAGAAAAUUUUCACAGUGAACAUUGUAGACAAACAAUGCACUUGUUUGCAAUGGCAGCUAAGGGGAUUCCCUUGUCAACAUGCUGUAUGUGCAUUGAAACUGCUCAGGCCAAACUGGAAAGAUUAUUGUGCUCCUUACUACUCUGUGGAAUAUUAUAGGACCAUAUAUGCAGAUGCUGUAAAUCCACUAGAAGACAUAAGUGAAUGGAACUGGGAAGAUAAGGCAUCCAUGGACAUCAACUUAAAGC